rnacentral:rRNA from 1 species
AUUGAACGCUGGCGGCAGGCCUAACACAUGCAAGUCGAGCGGAUGACGGGAGCUUGCUCCUUGAUUCAGCGGCGGACGGGUGAGUAAUGCCUAGGAAUCUGCCUGGUAGUGGGGGACAACGUUUCGAAAGGAACGCUAAUACCGCAUACGUCCUACGGGAGAAAGCAGGGGACCUUCGGGCCUUGCGCUAUCAGAUGAGCCUAGGUCGGAUUAGCUUGUUGGUGAGGUAAUGGCUCACCAAGGCGACGAUCCGUAACUGGUCUGAGAGGAUGAUCAGUCACACUGGAACUGAGACACGGUCCAGACUCCUACGGGAGUCAGCAGUGGGGAAUAUUGGACAAUGGGCGAAAGCCUGAUCCAGCCAUGCCGCGUGUGUGAAGAAGGUCUUCGGAUUGUAAAGCACUUUAAGUUGGGAGGAAGGGUUGUAGAUUAAUACUCUGCAAUUUUGACGUUACCGACAGAAUAAGCACCGGCUAACUCUGUGCCAGCCGCCGCCGUAA